rnacentral:rRNA from 1 species
AUUAAACGCUGGCGGCAUGCCUUACACAUGCAAGUCGAACGGCAGCACGGGGGCAACCCUGGUGGCGAGUGGCGGACGGGUGAGUAAAGCAUCGGAACGUAUCCUGGAGUGGGGGAUAACGUAGCGAAAGUUACGCUAAUACCGCAUAUUCUGUGAGCAGGAAAGCAGGGGAUCGCAAGACCUUGCGCUCUGGGAGCGGCCGAUGUCGGAUUAGCUAGUUGGUGGGGUAAAGGCCUACCAAGGCGACGAUCCGUAGCGGGUCUGAGAGGAUGAUCCGCCACACUGGAACUGAGACACGGUCCAGACUCCUACGGGAGGCAGCAGUGGGGAAUUUUGGACAAUGGGCGCAAGCCUGAUCCAGCCAUGCCGCGUGAGUGAAGAAGGCC